rnacentral:tRNA from 1 species
GCCCUUGUGGCGCAGGGGUACCGCGUCACGCUCGUAACGUGAAGAUCCUCGGUUCGAAUCCGAGCGGGGGCA